CCUGGCGGCACUAGCGCGGUGGUCCCACCUGACCCCAUGCCGAACUCAGAAGUGAAACGCCGUAGCGCCGAUGGUAGUGUGGGGUCUCCCCAUGGAGAGUAGGGAACUGCCAGGC
rnacentral:rRNA from 1 species